rnacentral:misc_RNA from 1 species
GAUGAAGAACGCAGUGAAAUGCGAUAAGUAGUGUGAAUUGCAGAAUUCAGUGAAUCAUCGAAUCUUUGAACGUACAUUGCGCCCCUUGGUAUUCCAUGGGGCAUGCCUGUUCGAGCGUCAUUUGUACCUUCAAGCUUUGCUUGGUGUUGGGUGUUUGUCCCGAGGGACUCGCCUUAAAGUAAUUGGCAGCCAGUGUUUGGUUUUGAAGCGCAGCACAAGUCGCGAUUCAAGGCUACACGCCCGCUUCCACAAGCCUUUUUUCACUUUUGACCUCGGAUCAGGUAGGGAUACCCGCUGAACUUAAGCAUAUCAAUAAGCGGAGGA